AUCUACGGCCAUACCACCUUGAACACGCCUCAUCUCAUGUGAUCUUGGAAGCUAAGCAGGGUCAGGCCUGGUUAGUACUUGGAUGGGAGAAACCCUAUGCUGCUGUGUUG
rnacentral:rRNA from 1 species